rnacentral:tRNA from 1 species
GCGGGAAUGGCGGAAUUGGCAGACGCGCUAGAUUCAGGUUCUAGUGAGGGUUCACUUCAUGCAGGUUCAAGUCCUGUUUCCCGCACCA